rnacentral:sRNA from 2 species
ACAUGCCCCGUUUGCGGGAAGAAAUCAAAUCCUUUAAUGCUCUCAAUUUCAUACCUCACUUCUUCCCCUUUGAAGUUUCCUCCCUGAACUAAUACGCCGACAUCUCGCGCUUGGGUGUGCACAUUGCAGCUUACAUACACGACCCUCGCGGGUCCGUAAGAUAGCAGCUGCUGUAGAAAGUUGUUAUCGCAGCCCUUUCGCGGUGGGUCAAUGAUAAGAAGCGUCUUAUCAGGUGGGUAAGGAACGUCCUUGAAAAUGGCGGCUGCGUCAGCGGCUGCGAAACCAGUAUUGGCAAGUUUGUUGGCACGGGCAUUUCUACGGGCUGCCUCGAUAGAAUCAGCGGAGAUGUCGAUACCGAGGGACGAGAGAAAUAUGGGAGAGAGUGUGACGGUGAAGAGACCAGAACCAGAAUAUGCAUCUAGGAGGUAUUUUAAUUUAGAGGUGCGCUGCGUCGUAGAAGAUGAUGAUGGGGACGAAGACGAAG